AAGGAUUUUUUUGAGUGAACGUGUCACAGCUUCCUCCUAUUUUUUUUGUAAAGACGAAGAAAGAAAUUCUAUUUUCUCUCCUAUUUACUACGGCGACGAAGAAUCAAAUUAUCACUAUAUUUAUUCCUUUUUCUACUUCUUUUUCCAAGUGCAGGAUAACCCCAAGGGGUUGUGGGUUUUUUUCUACCAAUUGGGGCCCUCCCUUCACCACCCCCAUGUGGAUGGUCUACAGGGUUCAUAACUACUCCCCUUACUACAGGGCGCUUACCUAGCCAACGCUUAGAUCCGGCCCUACCCAAAUUUUUCUGGUUCACCCCAACAUUCCCCACUUGUCCGACUGUUGCUGAGCAGUUUUUGGAUAUCAAACGGACCUCCCCAGAAGGUAAUUUUAAUGUGGCCGAUUUCCCUUCUUUUGCAAUCAGUUUCGCUACAGCACCCGCUGCUCUAGCUAAUUGUCCACCCUUUCCAAGUGUGAUUUCUAUGUUAUGUAUGGCCGUGCCUAAGGGCAUAUCGGAACUUCUGUACCAGAAACAAUGGUAUCUCCAAUUAUAGCCCCCCUGGGAUGUAAAAUAUAUCUCUUCUCACCAUCCCUAUAGUGUAUGAGACAAAUGUAUGCAUUUCGAUUCGGGUCGUAUUCUAUGGUUACGAUUCUACCAUAUAUGUCUUUUUCAUUCCGUCGAAAAUCUAUUUUACGGUAUAGACGCUUAUGACCUCC
rnacentral:lncRNA from 1 species